rnacentral:rRNA from 1 species
UACGUAGGGACCAAGCGUUGUUCGGAUUUACUGGGCGUAAAGGGCGCGUAGGCGGCAAUUCAAGUCAUCUGUGAAAUCUCCGGGCUUAACUCGGAACGGUCAGAUGAUACUGCUUUGCUAGAGUGCGGAAGGGGCAAUCGGAAUUCUUGGUGUAGCGGUGAAAUGCGUAGAUAUCAAGAGGAACACCUGAGGUGAAGACGGGUUGCUGGGCCGUACACUGACGCUGAGUGCGCGAAAGCCAGGGGAGCAAACGGG